UGUGAGCCCGGGGGCCCCCCUCGCCACACCCCCAAGCCCUGCCAAUCACAAUGUGGUUGCCGUGGCGACAGCUUGGCGCGAAGGCAGGAGGUUGACGUCAACUGAGCCAACGCGAGGGGCCCUGAGGAAGGGUCUGGAAAAGGGGGGGGGGCGGUGUGCGACCCCCAAACAAAGAAGGGGGUGAUGUGGAGAAAGGCCCUGUAACGACUCCCAAGUGCAAAAUCUCUGAAGAAAAAGAAAAAAACACCCAUACAAUUUGUGUAAAAAACCGAAAAUCAGCGGGCACAAACAUGUAUGUUGAAGUCUGUAGACAAACGAGAAAGUGGGAGACCAGACUUUCCUGAGACACACGAAAGACCCGAGACUAGCCUCCUAGUAAACGGAGAGCCCUCGAAAAGCGACGAGGUAAAGACCAAACCAAGCCCCCAAACGCGCAAUUCACGGGAAAUACAAAUGGCUGACAGACCUACGGGGCAAAAAUUGCGACCCGACUCGCAAAGAAACCCACGGAAAACCGAGAGUCCGGACGCGCGCGGUUCAGGGGCUCUCUGCUCAGGCAGGGCCGCGCCGGCUCCCACCGCGGUCCGCACGGACCUCGACCUCGGCCGCGCUGCGGAGAGCGGGGCUGCGGCGCGGGAGGAGACCCGGGAGCCGCGGGAACGACGGACCAAAGGCGCGACAGAGUAGGCGAAGUUGUGGAGAUGACCGGGCUCCCACUCCUGUUCCUCCGACUGUUUAAGGCAGCGGCCGUGGUGGUGGAUACCCGUCAUGGAGCCUGGCACACAGUGUGUCAUUGGCCUCAGGGAAGAGCCCGGGACAGAGAGAAUCUGGGGCAGGGUCCUGGCAAGACAGCCCGCAUGUACAUCCCUUCCGGGGCCUCCCAUGUCCCGUACGGGUUGCCACGAGGACCAUGGGAACCGAGGAAGGGUAAUUUUAUGUUCACUCCUGGAAAUGACAGUGAGAGAGCCUCCAGGUUGAGGGAGCAGCCAUGCAAAGGCCCUGAGCAUGCCCCCCACCGGACCCCGUCAUGGAGCAGCAGCCACAUGGCCCAAGCGGAAGGCGCCUCCUCACCAGCCAGCACCCCGUUUGCACGUCACUUGCCCGGAUCUCGGAAGAAGGUACAUUCUGGAACAUGGUUUUUAAAAAUCCUGGCUACACCAUGGCAGGCACAGUGCCAGGUGAUCUACAAGAAGCAUCUAUCAUAAUCCACAUCACACUCCAAGGAUCCAGAGAGAAUGUUUCCCCACUUUUAGAAGAGAACUAUGUCUCAGAAAGGUGAAAUUACUUUCCCGUGAUCCUAUAUUUUUAUUCAACCCAUCUCUCCCCAAAAAUAUCUAUUGAGAACCAAUUAGUAUGGCAGCCUGGGAUUGUAUCCCACACACAGUCUGGAAAGUUCCAUCCUCUGAGUGUCUCUCAGCCUCCUCCCCAUCACCUCACCAGCUGCAGUUUCCAUGGCAACAGAGCCUGCCUGAAUCACUGAGACCCGGUGAAUGAGAUUAAGUACCAGGGCAGAGUAAUGGAUCCCAGAACUGUCGAGCUGGAAAAGGGUGAGGUCUGGGGGAGGGCACAGGCUUUCUGAACCCGGGAGUGGGAUUUGGGUGUAUGUUUAGAUAACACCCCAAGUUUAAAUGGGCCCACUUUAAAAGAUGUCUUUGCCGAAGGGGUGGAGGAAGCUGCAGGCACAAGUUGAGAUCACAAACAUCUGUUUCUCAGCAGCUGCCAGCACCGAUGACGUAAACAGCCUUUGUUUUAGCCAAUAAUCUGUUUUUUGUCUGACUCGUUCAUUCAGCAAAAUGUCUUUACAGAGUGAUUACUGUUCGGCAGACGCUGUUUUAGGUGGUGGGCAUCUAAAACAGUUAUACUCUUGGAGUUCCCUGGUGGCACAGCGGAUUAAGUAUCCAGCAUUGUCGCUGCAGUGCACUGGGUCACUGCUGUGACUCAGGUUUGAUCCCUGACCUAGGAACUUCCGUGUACCACCAGCAUGGCCCCCCCAAAAAAAUCAUAAAAUAGAUGUAGUCUUAAUUCUCAUGGGAGUUGGCAUCCUAUUUGAAAUAUAGUAAAUGCAAAUGUAUAUUUAAAUACAAGUACAUAUUUAUUUAUGUAUAAAUAAUAAACAAUAUAUGUGAAUAUAUAAUAAAGAAGUA
rnacentral:lncRNA from 1 species